rnacentral:rRNA from 1 species
AGUUUGAUCAUGGCUCAGGAUGAACGCUAGCGGCAGGCCUAACACAUGCAAGUCGAGGGGUAGAGUUCUUCGGGACUUGAGACCGGCGCACGGGUGCGUAACGCGUAUGCAAUCUACCUUAUACAGGGGAAUAGCCCAGAGAAAUUUGGAUUAAUGCCCCAUAGUGUUAUCGAAUCGCAUGGUUUGAUAACUAAAGUUCCAACGGUAUAAGAUGAGCAUGCGUCCCAUUAGUUAGUUGGUAAGGUAACGGCUUACCAAGACAAUGAUGGGUAGGGGUCCUGAGAGGGAGAUCCCCCACACUGGUACUGAGACACGGACCAGACUCCUACGGGAGGCAGCAGUGAGGAAUAUUGGUCAAUGGGCGCAAGCCUGAACCAGCCAUGCCGCGUGCAGGAAGACGGUCCUAUGGAUUGUAAACUGCUUUUAUACAGGAAGAAACCCUCCCACGUGUGGGAGCUUGACGGUACUGUAGGAAUAAGGAUCGGCUAACUCCGUG